rnacentral:rRNA from 1 species
UCAAGUUAUUAAGGGUGCAGGGCGGAUGCCUUGGCACUAGGAGCCGAUGAAGGACGUGAUAAGCUGCGAUAAGCUUCGGGGAGUUGCACGUAAACUUUGAUCCGAAGAUUUCCGAAUGAGGAAACUCACUUAGAGUAAUGUCUAAGUAUCAUUAAGUGAAUACAUAGCUUAAUGAGGGGAACUCAGGGAACUGAAACAUCUAAGUACCUGAAGGAAGAGAAAGAAAUUCGAUUCCGUAAGUAGCGGCGAGCGAACGCGGAUUAGCCCAAACCAAUAAAGUUUUCUUUAUUGGGGUUGCGGACAUAUCAUAACGAAGAGGUAUCGUAAUUGAAGAGGUUUGGAAAGACCCACCACAGAAGGUAAUAGUCCUGUAUGUUAAACGAGAAGACUUCAGAUAUGAUCCAGAGUACCACGGGACACGUGAAACCCUGUGGGAAGCAGGAGGGACCACCCUCCAAGGCUAAAUACUACCUAGUGACCGAUAGCGUAUAGUACCGUGAGGGAAAGGUGAAAAGAACCCCGGGAGGGGAGUGAAAUAGAACCUGAAACCCUGCACUUACAAGCUGUGGAAGCACAUUUCUUGUGUGACCGCGUACUUUUUGUAGAACGGGCCAACGAGUUACGUUAAGUAGCAAGGUUAAGCACUUAAGGUGUGGAGCCGUAGCGAAAGCGAGUUUUAACUGAGCGUUCAGUUACUUGACGUAGACCCGAAACCGGGCGACCUACCCAUGAGCAGGAUGAAGCGAAAGUAAAAUUUCGUGGAGGUCCGAACCCACGAGCGUUGAAAAGCUCGGGGAUGACUUGUGGGUAGCGGUGAAAUUCCAAUCGAGCCCGGAGAUAGCUGGUUCUCCCCGAAAUAGCUUUAGGGCUAGCCUCAAGGUGAGAGAUACGGAGGUAGAGCACUGAAUGUCCUAGGGGGUAUUGCACCUACCGAAGACUAUCAAACUCCGAAUGCCGUCAUCUUAUACUUGGGAGUCAGACUGUGUGUGAUAAGAUUCAUAGUCGAAAGGGCAACAGCCCAGAUCGUCAGCUAAGGUCCCUAAAUGUAAGUUAAGUGGUAAAGGAUGUGGGAUUGCACAGACAACCAGGAUGUUGGCUUAGAAGCAGCCACUCAUUCAAAGAGUGCGUAAUAGCUCACUGGUCGAGUGAUCCUGCGCCGAAGAUUUCCGGGGCUAAAACUUACUACCGAAGCUACGGCAUCAGUAAUGAUGGGUAGGGGAGCUUCCCAUACGGGUUGAAGCAUGACCGUAAGGACAUGUGGACAGUAUGGGAGUGAGAAUGUUGGCAUGAGUAGCGAGAUGUGGGUGAGAAUCCCACAGGCCGUAAACCCAAGGUUUCCAGGGGAAGGUUCGUCCGCCCUGGGUUAGUCGGGACCUAAGCUGAGGCCGAAAGGCGUAGGUGAUGGACAACAGGUUGAUAUUCCUGUACUACCGAUAACCCGUUUGAGAGAAGGGAUGACACAGUAGGAUAAGCUAAGCACACUGUUGGUUAUGUGUGCCCAAGCAUUGAGGCAGUCAAAGUAGGCAAAUCCGCUUUGAUAAUGCUGGGAUGUGAUGGGGAGCGAAAUUUAGUAGCGAAGUAGCUGAUUUCACACUGUCAAGAAAAGUCUCUAUCGAGGUUAAAGGUACCCGUACCGCAAACCGACACAGGUGGGUGAGGAGAGUAUCCUAAGGCCAGCGAGAGAACUGUUGUUAAGGAACUCGGCAAAAUGACCCCGUAACUUAGGGAUAAGGGGUGCCACCAUCAGGUGGCCGCAGAGAAUAGGCCCAAGCGACUGUUUACCAAAAACAUAGGUUUCUGCUAAGUCGCAAGACGAUGUAUAGGAGCUGACGCCUGCCCGGUGCUGGAAGGUUAAGGGGAUCUGUUAGAGCAAUCGAAGCAGUGAACUUAAGCCCCAGUAAACGGCGGCCGUAACUAUAACGGUCCUAAGGUAGCGAAAUUCCUUGUCGGGUAAGUUCCGACCCGCACGAAAGGCGUAACGAUUUGGGCACUGUCUCAACAACAGACUCGGUGAAAUUGUAAUUCCGGUGAAGAUGCCGGAUACCUGCGACAGGACGGAAAGACCCCAUGGAGCUUUACUGUAGCUUGACAUUGGGUCUUGGUACUACAUGUACAGGAUAGGUGGGAGGCUUUGAAACCAGGACGCCAGUUUUGGCGGAGCCAUCCUUGGGAUACCACCCUUGUAGUACUGGGACUCUAACCAUAGGCCAUGAAUCUGGUCUUGGGACACUGUCAGGUGGGCAGUUUGACUGGGGCGGUCGCCUCCCAAAAGGUAACGGAGGCGCUCAAAGGUUCUCUCAGUACGGUCGGAAAUCGUACGUAGAGUGUAAAGGCAAAAGAGAGCUUGAUUGCAAGACAUACAGGUCGAGCAAGGAUGAAAAUCGGACUUAGUGAUCCGGUGGUUCUGCGUGGAAGGGCCAUCGCUCAACGGAUAAAAGCUACCCUGGGGAUAACAGGCUUAUCUCCCCCAAGAGUCCACAUCGACGGGGAGGUUUGGCACCUCGAUGUCGGCUCAUCACAUCCUGGGGCUGUAGUAGGUCCCAAGGGUUGGGCUGUUCGCCCAUUAAAGUGGUACGCGAGCUGGGUUCAGAACGUCGUGAGACAGUUCGGUCCCUAUCCGUCGCAGGCGUAGGAAAUUUGAGAAGACCUGUCCUUAGUACGAGAGGACCGGGAUGGACGUACCUCUGGUGUACCAGUUGUUCUGCCAAGGGCAUGGCUGGGUAGCUAUGUACGGAAUGGAUAAGCGCUGAAAGCAUCUAAGCGCGAAGCCAACUUCAAGAUAAGAUUUCCCACCGCAAGGGUAAGACCCCAGAAAGACUAUCUGGUUGAUAGGUCGAAGGUGUAAGUGCAGCAAUGUAUUUAGCUUAUCGAUACUAAUAGGUCGAGGACUUGACCAA